AUUGAACGCUGGCGGCAGGCUUAACACAUGCAAGUCGAACGAGUGGCGGACGGGUGAGUAAUGCUUGGGAAUCUGGCUUAUGGAGGGGGAUAACGACGGGAAACUGUCGCUAAUACCGCGUACCAUAGGAUGAGCCCAAGUGGGAUUAGGUAGUUGGUGGGGUAAUGGCCUACCAAGCCGAGGAUCCCUAGCUGGUCUGAGAGGAUGACCCGCCACACCGGGACUGAGACGCGGCCCGGACUCCGACGAGAGGCAGCAGUGGGGAAUAUGGGGGAAUGGGGGCAACCUGACGCGGCCGUGGCACGUGAAUGAAGAGGGCCUUGGGGUUGUGGAGUUCUUUCGGUUGCUGAGCGUGAAUCACAGAGAAAGCACCGGCGAACUCCGUGCGAGCAGCCGCGGUAAUUC
rnacentral:rRNA from 1 species